rnacentral:lncRNA from 1 species
CCCAAGGGUAAGGGUAAGGUCUGCGUACAUACUACCCUCCCCAGACCCCACUAAGUGGGGUUAUACUGGGUUGUUGUUGUUGUUGUUGAAUAUCUUUUAUUCAUACGUAAUUUGAGAUGGUAAAUUUAUAGAACUAAAUCUCUACAGGACAUGAAAGUCUUCCAUCAAUAAAAUAGAAGCAUGAAGGUCUUCAAGAGUUCUAGACGUGUAAUAGUCUCCAUUCACCAUUAUUUUCUGGAACUAUUGCACUGUUGUUAUUGACUUUGAGGUAGUGAAGUUUUAACAGCAUUUGAUGCAUAAAGAAAGUCAAAGUGAGUAAUAUUUUGGUUCUUUUCUCUUUCCAAGCCUUU